rnacentral:lncRNA from 1 species
CCCCCUUUUUAAGAAGUACAAAAUAAGACGCAAAACAGUAAAUAUUAUUUCAUCGCAAAUAACUCGAGUACUGCUGUAACUAUUCUAUAAUAUAUAUGUUUCUAUAAUGAAAAUUCAAAUAAAUAUAAUUUAAAUAAGCAAUGAAUUAGCAUGUUCACCAUUCCUUGUAUGGAGGGAUAAAAUACUUCCGAUCGCGCUACACUGUACAGCGUAGACACGCUUUGUAAUUGUGAAAGUUCCUCCAUCGUUCAAUUUUCAUCCAUGGAGAUCCCUGAGAUUAAGAAAAUAAAUAACCAAAACUACACAUUUCAGUAAUGUUACAAACAAGUUGUGGAAUAGUUCCAAUCAAAUUACAAUACAGAUCCUGUGUCAAAGCUUUGCUUACAAAGAUCUGUACUUACUGUUCUAGUAAUUAUUACAUCAGCCAAUGAAAUUUCAGCCUUCAAAUCUUUAAAAGUAUAUAUUGAUUUGACAAAACCAGAGAAUCUUGAAAUGUCUUGAGCUGAAAGGAGAACUGUUUUACAGGAAAGCUUGGACAAGGGAUCUGUAUUUUAAUAGGAUUGGAAUAGUUCUAUCAUAUUAAAUAAU